UACAGAGGUCUCGAGCGUUGUUCGGAUUCAUUGGGCGUAAAGGGUGCGUAGGUGGCGGGGUAAGUCAGGUGUGAAAUCUCGAGGCUCAACCUCGAAACUGCACUUGAUACUGCCUUGCUAGAGUACUGGAGAGGAGAUUGGAAUUUACGGUGUAGCAGUGAAAUGCGUAGAUAUCGUAAGGAAGACCAGUGGCGAAGGCGAAUCUCUGGACAGUUACUGACACUGAGGCACGAAGGCCAGGGGAGCAAACGGG
rnacentral:rRNA from 1 species